ACGGGCAUACCAUGCUGAAUAUACCGGUUCUCGUUAGAUCACCGAAGUCAAGCAUCAUUGGGCACGGUCAGUACUUGGGUGGGUGACCACCUGGGAACACCGCGUGCCGUU